rnacentral:RNase_P_RNA from 1 species
ACAGGGCGGGAUGCUUCGUAACGCGAAGGCGGAGUGAUCCGACGGAAAGUGGCACAGAAAAUACACAGCCGGUGUUCCACCGGCAAUGGUGAAAAGGUGCGGUAAGAGCGCACCAGCGUCAUGGUGACAUGGCGGCUAGCCAAACCCCAUCCGGAGCAAGUCCAAAUAGGGGACCCAUGAUGCGGCCCGCAUCAGUCCCGGGUUGGACGCUUGAGGUUCGCGGUGACGCGAAUCCCAGAGGAAUGGCCGUUCAGGGAGGCCUUUGGGCCUUCCGGACAGAACCCGGCUUACAGGCCCGCUUGUCCC